rnacentral:rRNA from 1 species
CCUGGCUUAGGAUGAACGCUAGCUACAGGCUUAACACAUGCAAGUCGAGGGGCAGCAUGUGGUUGCUUGCAACCAAUGAUGGCGACCGGCGCACGGGUGAGUAACGCGUAUCCAACCUUCCCCUUAGUAGGGGAUAGCCCGGCGAAAGUCGGAUUAAUACUCUAUGUUCUUCAAUGCGGGCAUCUAAGUUGAAGCAAAGAUUUAUCGCUAAGGGAUGGGGAUGCGUCUGAUUAGGUUGCAGGCGGGGUAACGGCCCACCUGGCCUACGAUCAGUAGGGGUUCUGAGAGGAAGGUCCCCCACACUGGUACUGAGACACGGACCAGACUCCUACGGGAGGCAGCAGUGAGGAAUAUUGGUCAAUGGGCGCGAGCCUGAACCAGCCAAGUAGCGUGCAGGACGAACCUGCCCUAUGGGUUGUAAACUGCUUUUAUCAGGGAAUAAAGUGAGGCACGCGUGCCUUUUUGUAUGUACCUGAUGAAUAAGGACCGGCUAAUUCCGUGCCAGCAGCUGC